CAGGGAUUGCCUCAGUAACGGCGAGUGAAGCGGCAAAAGCUCAAAUUUGAAAUCUGGCCUCACGGUCCGAGUUGUAAUUUGUAGAGGAUGCUUCGAACGUGGUCCGGUCUAAGUUCCUUGGAACAGGACGUCAUAGAGGGUGAGAAUCCCGUAUGUGCCCGGGUGCCAUUGUUCAUGUGAAGCUCCUUCGACGAGUCGAGUUGUUUGGGAAUGCAGCUCAAAAUGGGUGGUAAAUUUCAUCUAAAGCUAAAUACUGGCCAGAGACCGAUAGCGCACAAGUAGAGUGAUCGAAAGAUGAAAAGCACUUUGGAAAGAGAGUUAAACAGUACGUGAAAUUGUUGAAAGGGAAGCGCUUGCAAUCAGACUUGCAUGCAGUCGAUCAUCCGAUGUUCUCACCGGUGCACUCGAUUGUAUUCAGGCCAGCAUCGGUUUUGGUGGUUGGAUAAAGGCCUUAGGAACGUGGCUCCCCUCGGGGAGUGUUAUAGCCUAAGGUGCAAUGCAGCCUACCGGGACCGAGGACCGCGCUUCGGCUAGGAUGCUGGCGUAAUGGUUGUAAGCGACCCGUCUUGAAACACGGACCAAGGAGUCUAACAUCUAUGCGAGUGUUUGGGUGUAAAACCCAUACGCGUAAUGAAAGUGAACGGAGGUGAGAACCCUUAAGGGUGCAUCAUCGACCGAUCCUGAAGUCUUCGGAUGGAUUUGAGUAAGAGCAUAGCUGUUGGGACCCGAAAGAUGGUGAACUAUGCCUGAAUAGGGUGAAGCCAGAGGAAACUCUGGUGGAGGCUCGCAGCGGUUCUGACGUGCAAAUCGAUCGUCAAAUUUGGGUAUAGGGGCGAAAGACUAAUCGAACCAUCUAGUAGCUGGUUCCUGCCGAAGUUUCCCUCAGGA
rnacentral:rRNA from 1 species